GACGAACGCUGGCGGCGUGCUUAACACAUGCAAGUCGAACGGAAAGGCCCUGCUUUUGUGGGGUGCUCGAGUGGCGAACGGGUGAGUAACACGUGAGUAACCUGCCCUUGACUUUGGGAUAACUUCAGGAAACUGGGGCUAAUACCGGAUAGGAGCUCCUGCUGCAUGGUGGGGGUUGGAAAGUUUCGGCGGUUGGGGAUGGACUCGCGGCUUAUCAGCUUGUUGGUGGGGUAGUGGCUUACCAAGGCUUUGACGGGUAGCCGGCCUGAGAGGGUGACCGGCCACAUUGGGACUGAGAUACGGCCCAGACUCCUACUGGAGGCAGCAGUGGGGAAUAUUGCACAAUGGGCGGAAGCCUGAUGCAGCAACGCCGCGUGCGGGGUGACGGCCUUCGGGUUGUAAACCGCUUUCGCCUGUGACGAAGCGUGAGUGACGGUAAUGGGUAAAGAAGCACCGGCUAACUACGUG
rnacentral:rRNA from 1 species